UACGAAGGGGCUAGCGUUGCUCGGAAUCACUGGGCGUAAAGCGCACGUAGGCGGCUUUUAAGUCAGGGUGAAAUCCUGGAGCUCAACUCCAGAACUGCCUUUGAUACUGAGAGCUUGAGUCCGGGAGAGGUGAGUGGAACUGCGAGUGUAGAGGUGAAAUUCGUAGAUAUUCGCAAGAACACCAGUGGCGAAGGCGGCUCACUGGCCCGGUACUGACGCUGAGGUGCGAAAGCGUGGGGAGCAAACAGG
rnacentral:rRNA from 1 species